CAAUCCACAUUGUUUUGUGGUUAAUCCAUAAUCCUUAAUCCACCCUCAAAAACCAAUAAUCACCCAGCUCUGGGGACAACCCUAGCGUAGCGUAUAACCCAUUUUACAGACUAUGUACCAUAAAGGACCGCGAAUAUUACGUGUAUUGCUUGCACCCUGUAUGUUUUUAUUUGCUUUAGUUUUAACCCAAGAAGUUCAGAAAACGUUCAAUAAAAUAAAUCAUGGACCGAUUAUAAAAUUCCUACUAAACCAACAGUUCUAAAUUUGUCUUUGGAUAAUAUUCGUUUGCCUAGAUAGAAAGUGCGGAUCAGCAGAACGUUAACGAUCUUCUGAAAGUGUUUGCCGAUCGAUUGUCCAAAAUUCCCACGAAGGAUGACCUGGCCGCUUUGGAGACGAGAUUCAAUGCGAAAUUGGAUGGACUAAAAUCUGAUUUGGAGGCACUAAUCAAAGGAGGGAGUAGGAAAGAUGAAGGAAAUAGCGAGGGAGAAAAUAAUCAUGGAAGGAAGCCUAGGUCGAUGGAGGUACCAGAUUUCGUUGCAUCAGAUUACAGAUUGGGGAUAUUAACAGCAGAAGUGCGAAAGUCUUCUUUUAACGAGACGUGCGAAUUUGUUGAGCAAAUCCUUGCCGUUCAAAAAGAGCAAGCCACCAUCCUGGAGGAAAUAAGGAACACUACCGCUAAAAUAUUUCAAGGGAUGGGUUCUAUCUUGAAAGAGACUAAUCUAUCCAAUCCGAACGUGUUCGAAAUUCCAGACCCAAGGACUCCCCUCCUGACGAAAUUCUGCGGGGAUGAGCUAGAUCUUGCUAGUUCAACUUUCCCCAAAAAACCGCUAAUUUGCGGCAAACGGGUGGAUCACAAUUCAGCGAAGAGGUACUCCAACAGCAGGCUGGAAUGAGAGAACAAAUUUCGAGAGGAAUUUUACCGAUUAUUCUUAUGGUUUUGGUCUCCCGCUUUACGGCCAGGAUUUCUGGAUUGGCCUGAAAACAAUUCAUGAACUCACGGAGGCGGGAUAUACACAGUUACGCGUGGACCUCGAGGAUUGGGAGGGCAACAAAGCGUACGCGACGUAUGAGACAUUUAAAGUGGGUGGUCCACAGGAUAAGUACAAAUUAACGGUGAAAGGAUACAACGGAACUGCAGGGGACUCCCUGAGCCGAAAUGCUGGAAAAAAGUUCACCACAUUCGACAGUGACAAUGAUGAGCACAAAGUUAUUAAUUGUGCUUCGCAACGCAGGGGUGGCUGGUGGUAUUGGAAUUGUUCUGAGAGCCAGCUGAACUCCAUGUAUCAUACUUCACGCCGGGAGGAACAACCUUAUACGGGAAUAAUCUGGUACCACUGGAAGGGCCACGAAUACUCGUUGAAAAAGGUUGAAAUGAAGAUUCGUAAGCCACCCCAACCCAUCUGAAUAUGUUGCUGAGCUUUUAUUCUGCUCAUGUGCUUUUACUAAAUACAGAUCAGGUUCAGUAUAAAUACAUAAACAUAUAUUUCCCAUUUACAUAUGUAGAAACUUAAUCAUACUUGUUGUGAAAGUCUAGAUACAUACAUACAUACAUA